AACGAACGCUGGCGGCAUGCCUAACACAUGCAAGUCGAACGAGACCUUCGGGUCUAGUGGCGCACGGGUGCGUAACGCGUGGGAACCUGCCCUUAGGUUCGGAAUAACUCCCCGAAAGGGGUGCUAAUACCGGAUAAUGUCUUCGGACCAAAGAUUUAUCGCCUUUGGAUGGGCCCGCGUUGGAUUAGCUAGUUGGUAGGGUAAAAGCCUACCAAGGCGACGAUUCAUAGCUGGUCUGAGAGGAUGAUCAGUCACACUGGGACUGAGACACGGCCCAGACUCCUACUGGAGGCAGCAGUGGGGAAUAUUGGACAAUGGGCGAAAGCCUGAUUCAGCAAUGCCGCGUGAGUGAUGAAGGCCUUAGGGUUGUAAAGCUCUUUUACCCGGGAUGAUAAUGACAGUACCGGGAGAAUAAGCUCCGGCUAACUCCGUG
rnacentral:rRNA from 1 species